GGUUCCAUAGCGUAAGGGUUAAUGCACCAUGAAUGCCUUUUGAGACCACAGAUUUCUGCGGAGAUUCCAGGUUUGAUUCCUGGCGGGGCCA